AUUGAACGCUGGCGGCAUGCCUUACACAUGCAAGUCGAACGGCAGCACGGGAGCAAUCCUGGUGGCGAGUGGCGAACGGGUGAGUAAUGUAUCGGAACGUGCCCAGUCGUGGGGGAUAACGUAGCGAAAGCUACGCUAAUACCGCAUACGAUCUGUGGAUGAAAGCGGGGGACCGUAAGGCCUCGCGCGAUUGGAGCGGCCGAUAUCAGAUUAGGUAGUUGGUGGGGUAAAGGCCUACCAAGCCGACGAUCUGUAGCUGGUCUGAGAGGACGACCAGCCACACUAGGACUGAGACACGGCCCAGACUCCUACGGGAGGCAGCAGUGGGGAAUUUUGGACAAUGGGCGCAAGCCUGAUCCAGCAAUGCCGCGUGCAGGAUGAAGGCCUUCGGGUUGUAAACUGCUUUUGUACGGAGCGAAAAGGCUCUCUCUAAUACAGGGGGCUCAUGACGGUACCGUAAGAAUAAGCACCGGCUAACUACGUGCCAGCCGCCGCUGUAAUAC
rnacentral:rRNA from 1 species